rnacentral:rRNA from 1 species
AGUGAACGCUGGCGGCGUGCCUAAUACAUGCAAGUCGAACGGAGAUUAAGUAGCUUGCUAUUUAAUCUUAGUGGCGCACGGGUGAGUAAUAUAUAGCUAACUUGCCCAUUACUAAGGGACAACAGUUGGAAACGACUGCUAAUACCUUAUACUCCGUAUCUAUAUAAGUAGAUACGGGAAAGUUUUUCGGUAAUGGAUAGGGCUAUAUCGUAUUAGCUAGUUGGUAAGGUAAUGGCUUACCAAGGCUAUGACGCGUAACUGGUCUGAGAGGAUGAUCAGUCACACUGGAACUGAGACACGGUCCAGACUCCUACGGGAGGCAGCAGUAGGGAAUAUUGCUCAAUGGGGGAAACCCUGAAGCAGCAACGCCGCGUGGAGGAUGACACUUUUCGGAGCGUAAACUCCUUUUCUUGGGAAAGAAUUAUGACGGUACCCAAGGAAUAAGCACCGGCUAACUCCGUG